UAAUAGAUUAAAUAAUACAUUUAGCUCUGAUCCAGUAUCAUUGCAGUGAUUCUUUGGAUACCCACUAUCAGGUGAUGUGGAGGCUCAUAAUUCGUCGAAAUUUCCUGAAAGCAAAAAAA
rnacentral:sRNA from 1 species